rnacentral:rRNA from 1 species
AUUGAACGCUGGCGGCAUGCUUUACACAUGCAAGUCGGACGAGUGGCGAACGGGUGAGUAACGCAUCGGAACGUACCCAGUAAGGGGGGAUAACUGGUCGAAAGGAAAGCUAAUACCGCAUAUUAUUCGAGCGACCGAGGUUUGAUUAGCUGGUUGGCGGGGUAAAGGCCCACCAAGGCGACGAUCAGUAGCGGGUCUGAGAGGAUGAUCCGCCACACUGGGAUGGAGACACGGCCCAGACUCCUACGGGAGGAAGCAGUGGGGAAUUUUGGACAAUGGGCGCAAGCCGAGUCCAGCCAUGCCGCGUGUCUGAAGAAGGCCUUCGGGUUGUAAAGGACUUUUGUCAGGGAAGCGGUACCUGAAGAAUAAGCACCGGCUAACUACGUGCCAGCCGCCGCGGUAAUUC